CCUACGUGUGGCAGCAGUGAGGAAUAUUGGUCAAUGGCCGAGAGGCUGAACCAGCCAAGUCGCGUGAGGGAAGACUGCCCUACGGGUUGUAAACCUCUUUUGUCGGGGAGCACAGCGAGUCACGUGUGACUCAUUGAGAGUACCCUAAGAAAAAGCAUCGGCUAACUCCGUGCCAGCAGCCGCGGUAAUAAGGGGGAUGCGAGCGUUAUCCGGAUGUAUUGGGUUUAAAGGGUGCGCAGGUGGCGGUGCAAGUCAGCGGUAAAAUUGCGGGGCUCAACCCCGUACUGCCGUUGAAACUGCAUGCCUUGAGUGCACUAGAAGUAUGCGGAAUGCGUGGUGUAGCGGUGAAAUGCAUAGAUAUCACGCAGAACUCCGAUUGCGAAGGCAGCAUACCGGCGCGCAACUGACGCUCAUGCACGAAAGCGUGGGUAUCGAACAGGAUUAGAUACCCUGGUAGUC
rnacentral:rRNA from 1 species